rnacentral:rRNA from 1 species
GACGAACGCUGGCGGCGUGCCUAAUACAUGCAAGUUGAGCGCUGAAGGUUGGUACUUGUACCAACUGGAUGAGCAGCGAACGGGUGAGUAACGCGUGGGGAAUCUGCCUUUGAGCGGGGGACAACAUUUGGAAACGAAUGCUAAUACCGCAUAAAAACUUUAAACACAAGUUUUAAGUUUGAAAGAUGCAAUUGCAUCACUCAAAGAUGAUCCCGCGUUGUAUUAGCUAGUUGGUGAGGUAAAGGCUCACCAAGGCGAUGAUACAUAGCCGACCUGAGAGGGUGAUCGGCCACAAUGGGACUGAGACACGGCCCAAACUCCUACGGGAGGCAGCAGGAGGGAAUCUUCGGCAAUGGACGAAAGUCUGACCGAGCAACGCCGCGGGAGUGAAGAAGGGUUUCGGAUCGUAAAACUCUGUUGGUAGAGAAGAACGUUGGUGAGAGUGGAAAGCUCAUCAAGUGACGGUAACUACCCAGAAAGGGACGGCUAACUACGUG